rnacentral:lncRNA from 1 species
CUUAGGCUGGCCUGACUGUUCUCCUUCGUAUUUCUGUAUAUCAAUACGAGCUUGCGACGGUGAAUGCUGCGAGCUUACAUUUCUUUCAGCUGGUAUGGCGGCGCUGAAACAUGUCUUUUCAGCAAGGCUUUGCACAACGCGUUCCAGACGGUGAUGUAGCUGCAUUCAAAAACGAGAUGUCUGCUUUUUUGUCGCCACAUGGUUUCUCUUGACACGUUUGUGUACUCUACUCCAUGAAAGCUCAUACACUCCUUCGGAACAUAUCUCGGUGUUACUUAAUCAUCUUUCACUCCUAAUGUUUUUUUCUCAUCUUUUUCGGAAGCUACAUAGAACAUGGCUUGUUAUCACCGACGGCGCUAAUCGAUUUCGUAUACGACACGGUUCGGUGCAACAGAACGAGUUGCUGCGUUUUCCAUUAGUUAUUCGUCACGAUUUCUCAACAGAACACCUGAUGCGUUUACUGUCCGCCUCUUUAGGCAGUGCGUAACCAGCCUCUGUCCCCUGAACCACAAACGGACACGUAUUGGCAUUUGAUUGCAACAUUUUGUCGAUGAAAAAUCAUGAUUGGGAAUGUUGACUGCAUGCCACAAGAAGCAGCAAUGCUGAGUUACCGGUGGGAGGAAUAGCUUAGGUAGUAUUGUCGGCAUAAAUGACGGAUGGAUAACACACAAAAGUAUAGUCCUGGACAUUUUAGCUUGCAAGACGCCUGAGUUCAGCAGUCGCGUGACGCGCUGAAAGAGCGACAGACUGAAUUAACCGACGCAUGGCCAACAGUGUCUUUUUCUAAGCUCCCUCUUACCUUUAUUUCGCACAGGAGGCAUUAUGAUAUCCCGCAUCCUACAAACACCGUGUCGGGACGUGAACGGGUCUGAUGUUUCCCCUCUACUACUUGCUUUCUGUUGCAUAGAAUCACUUGUCCCUUUCAGACUGGUUCUAGAGGUACACUCACGGUCUUUCUUCGUGCGCUCCUGAUAGGCUGCGCUAAUUUGUGUCCGCUUCACACGAAUGCGCUGAAUUGCCAUACGCAGCUUCAUACGUUGGCCGGUGCUGUCACUCUUGCUUUCCAGGCGGUACGUUAUGCUGGUCAACAGGCGCUGCAAAUACGGCUCGUUUCUGUAUCACAAAUCCCUCGUUACACAGUACUCUGUAAUGUUGCCCUUAUGUUCGUCCGCCACUGGUAGGUGGAACGCGUGCGCGUUACGUGAGUCCCAGUUCCUUGAUAAUGGCUACCGACACAAAUGGAAGUGAAACCUGCAUCGAGUCUGAAAUGGCGACGGACAGUACAUAGACCAGAAAAGCUACCGUGUGGUAUUGUGCUGACUAACGUUUUUCCAGCUGUAUAGAGGUGACGGGAGAGAGAAACGCAAGCGACCAGUGUAGAAAUACCGUAAAACCGUUUUGUUUGCAGAAGGAUGUCAGGGCUAUCCUCGAAAAACCGUUGAAAUGGAGGUACAUACGUUGGGGACUUGCUUUCACAUUUUCAUGUAGGAAGACGUGAUGAGGUGAUUUGCCAAUCACUCAGUGAGACAAGUUUUUUCUCGCGCACCCAUUACCUAUCUCCCAAGGUGAUUCCUUCUCUGCAUGUAGAGCUGGUGCGACUCGUUUUCUCGCCUUUGAUGCAUCGGGUCGUGGACGUCCAAUGCAGGAAUCCGACAAAAUCUACUCUCUCGGGUGUGCGUCCGGAAUGUACUCUGCGGAAGUGAGAUGUACAUAGCAAUAUCCUUUGUUUAAAGACCAAUGCACUUUCAUCAGUGGCGGCUUGGCAAUUAGUUGAGGAAGCAGAAGUUACUUUUUGAAUGAAUCUGUCAGUUGGUACCACACACCUUGCUGAUCGCCCAUUCCUCGUGCACUUAUCCUAUCCUUAUCAUCGCAGCUGGGUUCGCGACAAGAUUGGUUUCGAAUUUGACUUCAAGACUAGCACCUCAAAUGUGUUGGCGACCUCAUUCGUGGGUAUGAAUGAUCCAGAUUGCCCGCAUCAGUGAAACAACGCUCGCGGUCGCACUAUAGGAGGGGGUGGUCUGAAUGCAACUAAACUUGGAGGGAAUUCUCUUUUCUCCGAUGUCAACUGGCUCAGAUUUUUGUGGUACGAUCUGUCACACCCAGCGUUGACCCAGAGGUAACAGUGCAUGCCUUGUUCAUACGCGCCGGUUCCUUCAUUGACUGGCGGCGCCUUCGCGACUGCGAAAUGUGUCUUUAAUUGCAUUGCACAAAGUGCACGUCCGGCAAACACGCAAUGCAUGUUGCGGUGUAGAAAAAAGUUUGUUAUUUGAAGGCAAAUAUGCAUAUUUACGCAAACCAAACACAGAAGAAAAACAUUCAAAUGGACGUGGGCAGAGGC